GAUGAACGCUGGCGGCGUGCCUAAUACAUGCAAGUCGAGCGAAUGGAUUAAGAGCUUGCUCUUAUGAAGUUAGCGGCAGACGGGUGAGUAACACGUGGGUAACCUGCCCAUAAGACUGGGAUAACUCCGGGAAACCGGGGCUAGUACCGGAUAACAUUUUGAACCGCAUGGGUCGAAAUUGAAAGGCGGCUUCGGCUGUCACUUAUGGAUGGACCCGCGUCGCAUUAGCUAGUUGGUGAGGUAACGGCUCACCAAGGCAACGAUGCGUAGCCGACCUGAGAGGGUGAUCGGCCACACUGGGACUGAGACACGGCCCAGACUCCUACGGGAGGCAGCAGUAGGGAAUCUUCCGCAAUGGACGAAAGUCUGACGGAGCAACGCCGCGUGAGUGAUGAAGGCUUUCGGGUCGUAAAACUCUGUUGUUAGGGAAGAACAAGUGCUAGUUGAAUAAGCUGGCACCUUGACGGUACCUAACCAGAAAGCCACGGCUAACUACGUGCCAGCCGCCGCGGUAA
rnacentral:rRNA from 1 species